rnacentral:rRNA from 1 species
CCUUACCUGGUCUUGACAUCCAGAGAAUCCUGCAGAGAUGCGGGAGUGCCUUCGGGAACUCUGAGACAGGUGCUGCAUGGCUGUCGUCAGCUCGUGUUGUGAAAUGUUGGGUUAAGUCCCGCAACGAGCGCAACCCUUAUCCUUUGUUGCCAGCGCGUAAUGGCGGGAACUCAAAGGAGACUGCCGGUGAUAAACCGGAGGAAGGUGGGGAUGACGUCAAGUCAUCAUGGCCCUUACGACCAGGGCUACACACGUGCUACAAUGGCAUAUACAAAGAGAAGCGACCUCGCGAGAGCAAGCGGACCUCAUAAAGUAUGUCGUAGUCCGGAUUGGAGUCUGCAACUCGACUCCAUGAAGUCGGAAUCGCUAGUAAUC